AGCGAACGCUGGCGGCAGGCCUAACACAUGCAAGUCGAGCGCCCAGCAAUGGGAGCGGCAGACGGGAUAGUAACACGUGGGAACAUGCCCUUCAGUACGGAACAACCAAGGGAAACUUUGGCUAAUACCGUAUACGCCCGUAAGGGGAAAGAUUUAUCGCUGAAGGAUUGGCCCGCGUCUGAUUAGCUAGUUGGUGGGGUAAUGGCCCACCAAGGCGACGAUCAGUAGCUGGUCUGAGAGGAUGAUCAGCAUCACUGGGACUGAGACACGGCCCAGACUCCUACGGGAGGCAGCAGUGGGGAAUAUUGGACAAUGGGCGCAAGCCUGAUCCAGCCAUGCCGCGUGAGUGAUGAAGGCCUUAGGGUUGUAAAGCUCUUUCGUCAGGGAAGAUAAUGACGGUACCUGAAGAAGAAGCCCCGGCUAACUUCGUGCCAGCCGCCGCCGUAA
rnacentral:rRNA from 1 species